UACGUAGGGUGCAAGCGUUAAUCGGAAUUACUGGGCGUAAAGCGUGCGCAGGCGGUUUUUGUAAGUCUGUCGUGAAAUCCCCCGGGCUCAACCCUGGGGAAUUGCGAUGGAGACUGCAAGGCUAGAAUCUGGCAGAGGGGGGGUAGAAUUCCACGUGUAGCAGUGAAAUGCGUAGAGAUGUGGAGGAACACCGAUGGCGAAGGCAGCCCCCCUGGGGUCAAGAUUGACGCUCAUGCACGAAAAGCGUGGGG
rnacentral:rRNA from 1 species